rnacentral:rRNA from 1 species
UACGGGGGGGGCAAGCGUUGUUCGGAAUUACUGGGCGUAAAGGGUUCGUAGGUGGCCAACUAAGUCAGACGUGAAAUCCCUCAGCUUAACUGGGGAACUGCGUCUGAGACUGGAUGGCUUGAGUGCAGGAGAGGAACGCGGAAUUCCAGGUGUAGCGGUGAAAUUCGUAGAUAUUGGGAAGAACACCGGUGGCGAAGGCGGCUCACUGGCUCAUUUCUGACGCUCAGGCGCGACAGCGUGGGGAUCAAACAGG